ACGACACAUUUCGUAGUUGCUCCAAAACGUAAACUUUCGAGGUGUUUUGGACAGCCUGGUGUUGUUGCUCCUCCUGCUGUGGCUCUUCCUGCAUUCAUUCCGAAACGGUUAAAUUAAGGGAUUUAGGGAUAAAAAAAGAAGAACUCAGAUUUAACACAAGACCCUCUAAAGCCGGAGCUCACUGCCACAUGCUUCCCAACCGAAACAGUUUAGUACAGUUCGUGCAUAUAUUAUGUUGAUAUUUUGUGACGUUUUUGUUAGUUUUGGAGUUCGGUUAGGGUUUUGUCAGCUGUUCGGGCAAACUUUACGGGUGACUUGAGUUUCUGCUUUUUGUCAAUUCAGCCCGAAACUCAGUAUGGAUUGAACAUGGCGAACGGACAACUUCGAGCAUUGAUUAACCGAGGAGGUACACAUGUACCUUUCACCAGUACGAUUCUAGCCAAUUCAUGGAGGUAGAUAGCGGAGACUCUGGGGGUCCGACCCAACCAGUUGUUUGUCAAGGUAAGGCAAAGAAAAGAAACAAGGGUCACAGUGGAGAUGCCGGUGGAAAGGCUACUCCACUGUGGAGAUGCAGGUGGAAAGGCUACUCCACUGUGGAGAUGCAGGUGGAAAGGCUACACCACUGUGGAGAUGCAGGUGGAAAGGCUAAUCCACUGUGGAGAUGCAGGUGGAAAGGCUACUCCACUGUGGAGAUGCAGGUGGAAAGGCUACUCCACUGUGGAGAUGCAGGUGGAAAGGCUAAUCCACUGUGGAGAUGCAGGUGGAAAGGCUAAUCCACUGUGGAGAUGCAGGUGGAAAGGCUACUCCACUGUCAAGAUGCAGGUGGAAAGGCUACUCCACUGUGGAGAUGCAGGUGGAAAGGCUACUCCACUGUGGAGAUGCAGGUGGAAAGGCUACUCCACUGUGGAGAUGACGGUGGAAAGGCUACUCCACUGUGGAGAUGACGGUGGAAAGGCUACUCCAGAAAUAUUGUGUAUGGCUUGUUCGGCACGUGAAGCAUGGGAAGACUGAAAGCAACAUGCUGUCUUCACCAAAGGAUGGGCGAAUGGAGACAGCACCUGUUUUAGUUCUCUGCACCCCAGCACUGCCUCUUCACUGGCCCCAAACACUACCUCUGCCCCCAGAGUACUGACUGAUGAUCGACCCCUAGCCCAUCUCCCCCAAAAUUAGAAACAUGUGGGACCUGGGAAGCUCUAUCCUGGGCCCACCUCCAAGACCUACUCCACUGGCCUGUUCCUCAGGGAUGCCACAAAAGAUUGAAGACGUAUCUCAAUAUCUGGAGAACGCAAUGCACCGAGUCACCAGCUUGUCCCAAAGGGUCCUGGAACCUAUAGCUGAUUUCCUGGAUGAACUCUCGCCAAAACUCUGGGAGGAAUUUGAUCCCCAGCUGCAUGACUUCAGGAAGAAGAUAUGGGCCGAACAACUUGGUACUUUUCUUUUACUCCAUAACACUUUUGUUAUUUACAUGUCUGCUCAUAAGACACUGUUUUACUAUUGUUCUGAAAUAUGAAGCUACUCUGACACAUUUUUACUCCAUAGACACUUGUUUACACGUCUGUUCUCAGCAGACACUUUUGUAUUGUGGUUGUACUUUCAGAAGCAAGAAUAA